CCAAUGGGUCAGCUGUACGGAUUUCUGGAGCAGAACUUACUUCAGAUGUGGCUGGUGAUGGAGGUCUUCAAAUCCACAGAGGAGAUGUCCCUCCAGGGUCC